GACAGAGGGUGCUAGCGUUGUUCGGAAUCAUUGGGCGUAAAGCGCGCGUAGGCGGCAUGGCAAGUCGGGUGUGAAAGCCCUGGGCUUACCCGAGGAAGUGCAUCCGAAACUGCUGUGCUUGAGUGCCGGAGAGGGUGGUGGAAUUCCCAGUGUAGAGGUGAAAUUCGUAGAUAUUGGGAGGAACAUCCGUGGCGAAGGCGACCACCUGGACGGACACUGACGCUGAGGUGCGAAAGCGUGGGGAG
rnacentral:rRNA from 1 species